rnacentral:rRNA from 1 species
AUGUGUAGUUCUUGCUCCUACCUCGGAUCCAAUUCUCCACGACAUCCAGAGAAGGUAGAAGAAUCUCAUCUCCAAAGUUUUCGGUGCAGAGAAGAUGAACCAUGCAAAAACUCAGGGUGGACCAUGGUGGCUUCACUGCUGGCGGAACGUAGAGGGCUUGGCUGCUACCAGGGUGAUUCAAAGGGAGUAUAUAGGUUAGACGAGCCGCUGACAAAGACACGCCUCUAUUCUGAAUUUUUACUUGCAAAGACGGACCAUCAGCUACAAAAUAUGUUGGCUAAACUCUCACAGGUUUGGAGCCGACCAAGGAAGUCACAGUUUAAGAGCUUGAGGAGGAGGGGCGUGUGGAGGUUCCCGCCGCCAGUGGCUGCACUGCUGGUCUUCGUCGCCUGCUCCUGUCAGAUCCAGCAUGACCUAUCCUAUCGGUUCUCCAUCGCUUCACUCUGCUUCAUGUGCAUAUGUGCAGACAAGAUGACGACCCCGCCCCUGUUCUUCGCCAGCCACACUCUCCCUUAUGCGUUCUUGCCUCAGGGCAAGUUUUUGUAUGUUCAUCUAAUAAUGGAAAAGAUUCAGACCUUCAAUUUUUUAGGAACGAUUUUAUUGCUCGAGUAA